AGCUCGUUCGGGUGUAACACUGUUGCCGGACGAAUAUCCUGUUUAGACAGGAUUGACGGUACCGGGUGAGGAAGCACCGGCUAACUCUGUGC
rnacentral:rRNA from 1 species